GAAUUUGCCUGGCGGCCCCACCUGACCCCAUGCCGAACUCAGAAGUGAAACGCCGUAGCGCCGAUGGUAGUGUGGGGUCUCCCCAUGUGAGAGUAGGGAACUGCC
rnacentral:rRNA from 1 species